CUCCCAGACCCCUACGGGAGGCAGCAGUGGGGGAUAUUGGACAAUGGGGGAAACCCUGAUCCAGCGACGCCGCGUGAGUGAAGAAGUAUUUCGGUAUGUAAAGCUCUAUCAGCAGGGAAGAAAGAAAUGGCGGUACCUGAGUAAGAAGCCCCGGCUAACUACGUGCCAGCAGCCGCGGUAAUACGUAGGGGGCAAGCGUUAUCCGGAAUUACUGGGUGUAAAGGGAGCGUAGACGGUAAUGCAAGUCUGGAGUGAAAGGCGGGGGCCCAACCCCCGGACUGCUUUGGGAACUGUACGGCUGGAGUGCAGGAGAGGUAAGUGGAAUUCCUAGUGUAGCGGUGAAAUGCGUAGAUAUUAGGGGGAACACCAGUGGCGAAGGCGGCUUACUGGACUGUAACUGACGUUGAGGCUCGAAAGCGUGGGGAGCAAACAGGAUUAGAUACCCUAGUA
rnacentral:rRNA from 1 species